rnacentral:rRNA from 1 species
GACGUAGGGGGCGAACGUUAUCCGGAAUUAUUGGGCGUAAAGGGUGCGUAGGUGGCUUGAUAAGUUAGCAGUGGGAAAUCGAGGCUCAACCUCGUGGAAGCUGGUAAUACUGUCAGGCUCGAGUGCAGGAGAGGUUAACGGAACUCCAUGUGGAGCGGUAAAAUGUGUAGAUAUAUGGAAGAACACCAAUAACGGCGAAGGCAGUUAACUAUUCUGUUACUGACAUUGAGGCACGAAAGCGUGGGGAGCAAAACGG